UGAUAACCCAGUCUCCUUCCUGGUCACGGUGCGGCAGGUUCCUGGGGCACGACGCUGAAGUCCCUCAUCAAUUUUUCGACUAUCCAGGCGCAUUCCUGUUGGCGUCAUCAAUGGACAGAACACUUCGACUUGGAAUGCGUCUCCUCGCAUAGUGCUGACACAAUCCGCCCCUGCAUCGCUGUGAACAUUUGUUUUUGUGCCGUGGUAUCACCAGAAAAGCUGGUCUUCGGUGAUCCAGCAACAUCGAUGGUUGCAUCGUCCUGCCAGGCACAUCGAAAGAGCUUCCCUGCACGCCCUUUACCUUCCCUGGGUACGAGAACAGCGCUUUCGACAUGGCCCGUUCUUCUGGCUCCCGUUUCGAUGCAGGUACAUUCCUAUUGGCGUUGUCGAUGGACAGAACUCUUCGACUUGGAAUGCGUCUCCGCGCAUGGUGCUGACACAGUCCGCGCCUGCGUCGUAGUCAACAUGCGUGUUCCUGCCGUGGUGUCACCAGCAAAGCUCUUCUUCGGUGAUCCAGAGACAUCGACGGUUGCAUCAUCCAGCCUUGCAAAUUGAAAGAGCUCCUUCACGCGCUCUUCACAUUCCAUGGGUACGAGAACAGGACUUUCGACAUGGCCCGCUUUCCUGGCCUCUGCUGCCAUGAAGACCAAAUCCUGUUGGCGUUAUCAACGGACACAGCUCUUCGACUUGGAAUGCGUCUCCGCUCAUAGUGCUGACACAGUCCGCGCCUGUGUCGCUGUCAACAUGCGUGUUCCUGCCGUGGUGUCACCAGCAAAGCUCGUCUUCGGAACAUUGGGCACGAGAACAGCACUUCCGACAUGGUCCCUUGUCCUGGCUUCCGUUUCCAUGCACGUGUGCAUGGCGCUGGGUCCUCCUGCUGUGUUCGUGCCCUUCCCGGCUCUCCUAUAGCCCGUCCAGGUGCAGGAGUGCUGUGGAGUUCGGUUCUCGAGCCGUCUACCGUGCCACCAGAAACAGGAUUCCUGCCGGAUAGGACAGCGGCGUUGCUCCAGAGCCUGCUGUAGACUUCAGGACGGAACCAGGGUCCACGGCACUCGCGCAGAUGCACCUCAGCUGUCCCUUUCCCUGCCACUAUGACAGCGUA